rnacentral:rRNA from 1 species
GACGAACGCUGGCGGCGUGCUUAACACAUGCAAGUCGAACGAUGAAGCUAGAGCUUGCUCUGGUGAAUUAGUGGCGAACGGGUGAGUAACACGUGAGUAACCUGCCCCGAACUCUGGGAUAACUGCUGGAAACGGUAGCUAAUACUGGAUACGACCUACGAAGGCAUCUUCUGUAGGUGGAAAGAAUUUCGGUUCGGGAUGGGCCCGCGGCCUAUCAGCUUGUUGGUGGGGUAAUGGCCUACAAAGGCGACGACGGGUAGCCGGCCUGAGAGGGUGACCGGUCACACUGGGACUGAGAUACGGCCCAGACUCCUACGGGAGGCAGCAGUGGGGAAUAUUGCACAAUGGGCGCAAGCCUGAUGCAGCGACGCCGCGUGAGGGAUGACGGCCUUCGGGUUGUAAACCUCUUUCAGCUAUGACGAAGCGCAAGUGACGGUAGUAGCAGAAGAAGGACCGGCCAACUACGUGCCAGCCGCCGCAGUAA